AGAAUCAACGCUGGCGGCGUGCCUAACACAUGCAAGUCGAACGAGAAAGUGGAGCAAUCCAUUAGUAAAGUGGCGCACGGGUGAGUAACACGUGACUAACCUACCCUUGAGUGGGGGAUAACCUAGGGAAACCUGGGCUAAUACCGCAUAAUACCUUCGGGUCAAAGGAGCAAUUCGCUUAAGGAGGGGGUCGCGGCCGAUUAGUUAGUUGGCGGGGUAAUGGCCCACCAAGACGAUGAUCGGUAUCCGGCCUGAGAGGGCGCACGGACACACUGGAACUGAAACACGGUCCAGACUCCUACGGGAGGCAGCAGUGGGGAAUUUUGCGCAAUGGGGGAAACCCUGACGCAGCAACGCCGCGUGGAGGAUGAAGCCCCUUGGGGCGUAAACUCCUUUCGAUCGGGACGAUUAUGACGGUACCGGAAGAAGAAGCCCCGGCUAACUUCGCGCCAGCAGCCGC
rnacentral:rRNA from 1 species